rnacentral:rRNA from 1 species
GAGAGCGGCGGACGGGUGAGUAAUGCCUAGGAAUCUGCCUGGUAGUGGGGGAUAACGUUCGGAAACGGACGCUAAUACCGCAUACGUCCUACGGGAGAAAGCAGGGGACCUUCGGGCCUUGCGCUAUCAGAUGAGCCUAGGUCGGAUUAGCUAGUUGGUGGGGUAAUGGCUCACCAAGGCGACGAUCCGUAACUGGUCUGAGAGGAUGAUCAGUCACACUGGAACUGAGACACGGUCCAGACUCCUACGGGAGGCAGCAGUGGGGAAUAUUGGACAAUGGGCGAAAGCCUGAUCCAGCCAUGCCGCGUGUGUGAAGAAGGUCUUCGGAUUGUAAAGCACUUUAAGUUGGGAGGAAGGGUUGUAGAUUAAUACUCUGCAAUUUUGACGUUACCGACAGAAUAAGCACCGGCUAACUCUGUG